rnacentral:lncRNA from 1 species
CUGGGUUCUUUGCGGCAAAAAACUGAGCCACACACUUCUGUUUCACGCAUCUUGCCUUUUAAAGGCCUUAAAACAAGUUAGAACCUUAUUAGGACUUCUAAUCAAGCCCAAAUCAAGUCUCAAAAAAUCUUUGAGCCAUCGGAUCAACAUCGGGAGCUCCCCACACUGUUGGAUCGUGCAACGGUCCACAAAAUAGUAUCGUGGACCGUGAAAAAUACGUGAAAAAUGCCCAUGUGGUUCACGCAGCUUCCUGUGCACCGUCCGAUCUACGGUGGACCGGCC